rnacentral:lncRNA from 1 species
UCAUACAGUAUUUGAUUGAUCUAAAUGAAAAAAAAAAAACAAAUAUCAAAGUGGUUCCAUUACACAAAGCCAUGAUUUCCACAAGCGACGAAUUAACCUAACAGCUUCAUGUUCCCUUAAGGCUCUCACCUAGUCAAUUAUAUUUGACAAAUUUUAGUAACGAAAUGGACUAAUGGAUCCAUUCUAGUAUAUAUGAACACGCAUAAACGAAGAGAAAUCUGCAUUUGGAAAUUUACUCAACAUGAAAAAUGGAAACGAUUAAAGCACAAUUAAACUAACAUAUAUACAGAGAGCAUUUGCUGCCCAGUAAAACAAAGAAGAGAUGGAGAAUUAGCUUACAGGAACGAAUAAAUUUGAUCCGCCUGAGGUCGAAAUUAGGUGUAGUGGUACUGCAUAAUCUGCAAAAUCGCAAGGAGAGAAGAAAACAGCAGAUCCUGAGUCGAUAUGUUAAUCCAAAGAAGAAUUUACCCAAAAAUGCUUGAAUUUAGACAUAUGUAGGUAAAAUGCGAUCCCUAAUUACUGAAUUAAGUAUAAAAACUCUACAUUUGCUCUGAAUUGAACAAGAUGCAGCCAUUGAAGCUAAAUUGGGAAGACGGUAUGAUAGAACUUCUUUCCAGAAAUAGAAGAGAAUGUUACCCUGG